GAUGAACGCUGGCGGCGUGCUUAACACAUGCAAGUCGAACGGAAAGGCCGAAGCUUGCUUCGGUACUCGAGUGGCGAACGGGUGAGUAACACGUGGGUGAUCUGCCCUGUACUUCGGGAUAAGCUUGGGAAACUGGGUCUAAUACCGGAUAUGACGAUCUCUUGGAUGGGGUUGUGGAAAGCUUUUGCGGUAUGGGAUGAGCUCGCGGCCUAUCAGCUUGUUGGUGGGGUAAUGGCCUACCAAGGCGUCGACGGGUAGCCGGCCUGAGAGGGUGUACGGCCACAUUGGGACUGGGAUACGGCCCAGACUCCUACGGGAGGCAGUAGUGGGGAAUAUUGCACAAUGGGCGCAAGCCUGAUGCAGCGACGCCGCGUGGGGGAUGACGGCCUUCGGGUUGUAAACUCCUUUCGCAAUCGACGAAGCCUUUUGGUGACGGUAGGUUGAGAAGAAGCACCGGCUAACUACGUG
rnacentral:rRNA from 1 species